rnacentral:rRNA from 1 species
UACGUAGGGUGCAAGCGUUGUCCGGAAUCAUUGGGCGUAAAGCGCGCGUAGGCGGCCCGAUAAGUCCGCUGUAAAAGUCAACGGCUCAACUGUUGAAAGCCGGUGGAUACUGUCGGGCUAGAGUACGGAAGAGGCAAGUGGAAUUCCUGGUGCAGCGGUGGAAUGCGCAGAUAUCAGGAGGAACACCUAUAGCGAAGGCAGCUUGCUGGGACGUUACUGACGCUAAGGCGCGAAAGCGUGGGGAGCGAACAGG